UAGAUGACGGGCCGCACAGCGGUGGAGCAUGUUGGUUUAAUUCGAAGCAACGCGAAGAACCUUACCAGGUCUUGACAUCCCGAUGCUAUUUCUAGAGAUAGAAAGUUACUUCGGUACAUCGGUGACAGGUGGUGCAUGGUUGUCGUCAGCUCGUGUCGUGAGAUGUUGGGUUAAGUCCCGCAACGAGCGCAACCCCUAUUGUUAGUUGCCAUCAUUCAGUUGGGCACUCUAGCGAGACUGCCGGUAAUAAACCGGAGAAGUGGGGAUGACGUCAAAUCAUCAUGCCCCUUAUGACCUGGGCUACACACGUGCUACAAUGGUUGGUACAACGAGUUGCGAGUCGGUGACGGCGAGCUAAUCUCUUAAAGCCAAUCUCAGUUCGGAUUGUAGGCUGCAACUCGCCUACAUGAAGUCGGAAUCGCUAGUAAUCGCGGAUCAGCACGCCGCGGUGAAUACGUUCCCGGGCCUU
rnacentral:rRNA from 1 species